CUCGAACGGAACGUCAGUUGACUUUCAGCGUUCAUUCGUGGCGGGUUGAAAAACGUCACUCUUCCAUCGCGCGAGAUCGUGUACUGAACCGAGGUUAGGUGGAUCGUUCGUUUGUGAACUUUUGUUAAAUAGUGUGUUCAAAGUGUGCGAAACAAACAAAAGUGCAAUGGCGAAGUGGUUGUUUGCGUCCGCCAUCCUCGGCAUCGCCUGCCUGGUCGGUGUUACUCACGGUCAUACCUACAAAACGGGUGAUUGCCCGACGGUCGAGCCAAUGAGCGGCUUCAGCAUGAAGCAGUUCCUCGGUAUCUGGUACGUCAUCCAGAAGACGGGCACGGCGUCGAGCUGCGUCGUCUACAACAUCACGAAAAACCAGGACACCCCGGACGAAUACUUCAUCGAGCAGAUCUCCCAGAAGGCACCGCUCUCGAUCACCCCCAUCAAGCACGAGUACUCGUACACCGGCAAGCUCACCGUGACCGACCGUGACGUGCCGGCCCGCAUGACCGUCCGUUUUCCGCUCAGCGUGGCCGGGUCGGCAAAGUUUGUCGUAUUCAUGACGGACUACGAAACGUACGCCGGUGUGUUUUCCUGCCAGAAGAUCCCCUUCGGCCACCGGCAGAGUGCGACCCUGCUGUCCAGGACGCGUGAUUUGGAUAAAAUCUACGUUGAUAAGAUUCGCUCCCGGUUGGCCGGGUACUCGGUCGAUCCGUUCGAUCUGAGCAUCGUCAAUCAGACCGGCUGCCCGAAGGAGGGUGAAGCCGGCUGGAACAUCCACAUCGAUCCGGAAACCUUCUCCACGCGCAACAUCGCGAACGCGUUCCGGAAGGCGGGCGCUGCGAUCGGCGACGGCUUCGAGGCGGCGGUCAACGCCGGCAAAAAGGUUCAUUUAUUUUGAAGGCACCCCACGGCAAGUGAGGGGACGCAAGUGAGAAGGGUAGCGGUGAACGAAAAGCGAGGAAAAACUAAUAGCAAAGUGUAGUUGGACGCGCAAUACAUAUGUAAAAGCUCCAAAAAAAAAAAAAAAUUAAACCCUCACGAGCACGAGCGCGGAGUUGUUUUUCGCCCACGCCAGAACGAGAAACCGACACUCUACAAUCAGUACAGUUCCGCCGGAAGUGAGGAGGUGUUGGCCGAUGUGGAAGAGACCACUGGGCCCACCCGUCGGUCCGAACGACUCGUCGGUGCAGCGGAAUGGUUGCCCUGAG